rnacentral:miRNA from 1 species
UCGUAUACGAGACCGGGGUCUC